rnacentral:rRNA from 1 species
UACGGAGGGUGCAAACGUUGCUCGGAAUCAUUGGGCGUAAAGCGCACGUAGGCGGCCCAGCAAGUCGGGUGUGAAAGCCCUCGGCUUAACCGAGGAAGUGCAUUCGAAACUACUGAGCCUGAAUACUGGAGAGGAUCGCGGAAUUCCCGGUGUAGAGGUGAAAUUCGUAGAUAUCGGGAGGAACACCAGUGGCGAAGGCGGCGAUCUGGACAGAUAUUGACGCUGAGGUGCGAAAGCGUGGGGAGCAAACAGG